rnacentral:rRNA from 1 species
UACGAAGGGGGCUAGCGUUGUUCGGAAUCACUGGGCGUAAAGGGCGCGUAGGCGGCUUUAUAAGUCGGGGGUGAAAGCUUGUGGCUCAACCACAGAAUUGCCUUCGAUACUGUAGAGCUUGAGACCGGAAGAGGUAAGUGGAACUGCGAGUGUAGAGGUGAAAUUCGUAGAUAUUCGCAAGAACACCAGUGGCGAAGGCGGCUUACUGGUCCGGUUCUGACGCUGAGGCGCGAAAAGCGUGGGGAGCGAUCCGG